UCAAUUACAUUUCAACAUAUAUUCACACAGAAAACAUCUUGUAACCUUGCACUUCAGUUAUAUGUUAUGAAAUAAAUCAUCUUUUGUCUGAAAUAAUAUGAACAGCAGCUAUGCUAAUAUUUCUCCGUUUGCUUUCCUGUUUUUAUUUUGGGAUGCCUAUCCCAAGGUUACUAGAGAUUAUGCCAGUUCCAGUUUGGAUCCAGCCUCACUUGUGAAGACUUCAGGAGAUGCCAGCACUUACAAAGAUUUCAGAUGAUGGCAACUAUACAAAGCUGCCAAAUAUUAUCCUUAUAUUGUAAUCAUUGCCCUAAAAGGGAGAAACUUGGCAAAAAAUCUACUUCACAGCACAUCAGUGAAAGGCUUUCCUAUGUAACAAAUAUGGAUUCAAGUUUUCCACCCUUGCAUAUAUCCAUAUCAGGUUUUAUUGGGAUCCCAGUAGAAGACAUCAGAACACCAGAUGCUGGCCUGGACAGAUGUACCUACAGUAAACCACACCAAUCUCUCUGCUUUUGCAUGGAUGGCUGACUACUACCAUAUUCUAUGAAGGUAUUAUUAUAGUAAAACUGAGCACCUGUGACAGUGGAAUUUGUAGUUAUAAAGAAUAAUCACACAUGUGUAUCAGUAAAUUUGAAGCAACAGAGAAUACUUUUUUAGGAGUUGCACUUUUGCACUUUUUGUACUCUCUCUAUUACAAAAUAACAGUUAUACCAUUUGAAAUUCUCAGGUGCACAAAUCCUAUUCUGCAAUUCACAAAUUACAAAAUGUAUAUACUCACAGUUAUGCUAGAGUUGCUGCAGUGAA